UCGGGUGUAGCGCAGCUUGGCAGCGCGCUUCGUUCGGGACGAAGAGGUCGUGGGUUCAAAUCCCGCCACCCCGAC
rnacentral:tRNA from 1 species